rnacentral:misc_RNA from 1 species
UUUCCGUAGGUGAACCUGCGGAAGGAUCAUUCAUAAUAAAGUGUUUUAUGGCACUUUUUAAAAAUCCAUAUCCACCUUGUGUGCAAUGUUAGAUCUCGUCAAUCUUGGCGAGAUUUUUAUAUAUCAACUCAUUUUUUAACUAAUUUGUCUGAAAAAUAUUAUGAAUACUUAAUUCAAAAUACAACUUUCAACAACGGAUCUCUUGGCUCUC